GAUGAACGCUGGCGGCGUGCCUAAUACAUGCAAGUCGAGCGAAUGGAUUAAGAGCUUGCUCUUAUGAAGUUAGCGGCGGACGGGUGAGUAACACGUGGGUAAACUGCCCAUAAGACUGGGAUAACUCCGGGAAACCGGGGCUAAUACCGGAUAACAUUUUGAACAGCAUGGUUCGAAAUUGAAAGGCGGCUUCGGCUGUCACUUAUGGAUGGACCCGCGUCGCAUUAGCUAGUUGGUGAGGUAACGGCUCAACAAGGCAACGAUGCGUAGCCGACCUGAGAGGGUGAUCAGCCACACUGGGACUGAGACACGGCCCAGACUCCUACGGGAGGCAGCAGUAGGGAAUCUUCCGCAAUGGACGAAAGUCUGACGGAGCAACGCCGCGUGAGUGAUGAAGGCUUUCGGGUCGUAAAACUCUGUUGUUAGGGAAGAACAAGUGCUAGUUGAAUAAGCUGGCACCUUGACGGUACCUAACCAGAAAGCCACGGCUAACUACGUGCCAGCAGCCGCGGUAA
rnacentral:rRNA from 1 species